UGCAGUCGAGCGGACUUAAAAAGCUUGCUUUUUAAGUUAGCGGCGGACGGGUGAGUAACACGUGGGCAACCUGCCUGUAAGACUGGGAUAACUUCGGGAAACCGGAGCUAAUACCGGAUAAUCCUUUUCUACUCAUGUAGAAAAGCUGAAAGACGGUUUACGCUGUCACUUACAGAUGGGCCCGCGGCGCAUUAGCUAGUUGGUGAGGUAACGGCUCACCAAGGCGACGAUGCGUAGCCGACCUGAGAGGGUGAUCGGCCACACUGGGACUGAGACACGGCCCAGACUCCUACGGGAGGCAGCAGUAGGGAAUCUUCCGCAAUGGACGAAAGUCUGACGGAGCAACGCCGCGUGAGUGAUGAAGGUUUUCGGAUCGUAAAACUCUGUUGUUAGGGAAGAACAAGUACGAGAGUAACUGCUCGUACCUUGACGGUACCUAACCAGAAAGCCACGGCUAACUACGUGCCAGCAGCCGCGGUAAUACGUAGGUGGCAAGCGUUGUCCGGAAUUAUUGGGCGUAAAGCGCGCGCAGGCGGUCCUUUAAGUCUGAUGUGAAAGCCCACGGCUCAACCGUGGAGGGUCAUUGGAAACUGGGGGACUUGAGUGCAGAAGAGAAGAGUGGAAUUCCACGUGUAGCGGUGAAAUGCGUAGAGAUGUGGAGGAACACCAGUGGCGAAGGCGACUCUUUGGUCUGUAACUGACGCUGAGGCGCGAAAGCGUGGGGAGCAAACAGGAUUAGAUACCCUGGUAGUCCACGCCGUAAACGAUGAGUGCUAAGUGUUAGAGGGUUUCCGCCCUUUAGUGCUGCAGCAAACGCAUUAAGCACUCCGCCUGGGGAGUACGGCCGCAAGGCUGAAACUCAAAGGAAUUGACGGGGGCCCGCACAAGCGGUGGAGCAUGUGGUUUAAUUCGAGCAACGCGAAGAA
rnacentral:rRNA from 1 species